UACAGAAUGCCUGACUAAAGGAUAAUUUUGAUAGGAUUAAACAUGUGUACUAGCGACACUUCUGUAA
rnacentral:tRNA from 1 species